rnacentral:rRNA from 1 species
CCUACGGGGGGCUGCAGUGGGGAAUUUUGGACAAUGGGGGCAACCCUGAUCCAGCCAUGCCGCGUGAGUGAAGAAGGCCUUCGGGUUGUAAAGCUCUUUCGGCCGGGAAGAAAUCGCUCAAGCUAAUACCUUGGGUGGAUGACGGUACCGGAAGAAGAAGCACCGGCUAACUACGUGCCAGCAGCCGCGGUAAUACGUAGGGUGCGACCGUUAAUCGGAAUUGCGCAGCGGAAACCGUAAGACGGCGGCGAAAUCCCCGGGCUUAACCUGGGAACUGCGUGUGUGACUGUGGUGCUCGAGUGCGGCAGAGGGGGGUGGAAUUCCACGUGUAGCAGUGAAAUGCGUAGAGAUGUGGAGGAACACCGAUGGCGAAGGCAGACCCCUGGGUCGACACUGACGCUCAUGCACGAAAGCGUGGGGAGCAAACAGGAUUAGAUACCCGAGUAGUC